CAAUCUGGUUCGAAUUGCAAAGAAGAAAAGUAUGUUCAUAAAUCAAGUCAAUCUCUUCUCUCUCUUUCUCUUGUCUCUCACAUCUCAUGUCAUGGUUGAAUUUCCAGGAAGGGGAAUUCCAAAGUGGUUCAGUUAUCGUAAGGAUUUGAAGGAUCUUUGCGAAUGUCAAUUCUCUAUUAAAACCUCUCAAAAUUUCAAUUGGGAGAACAAAGGAAUUUCUUUUUGUGCUUUUCUCGAAAAGACCAAAAAUAGGUUCCUUGUUGAGAUGAAAACCAGAAUCAGGGAGUUUGCUGUUGAUAUGUACGUGAAGGAAGUAUGCCCUUCUAAUAUUUAUCCAACAGGGAAAGAAUCGAGUUUAGUGUGGCUGUCAUAUUUCCCUUUCCGUGAUUUUAUGUCGGGAAUGGCAUGCACGAAAAGAACAUGGAUGAUGCCGCCUUAUUUGCCUACAAUCCGAGUUCAUUUUGUGCGUAUUAGCAAAGCUGUGAAAAGCUGCGGAGUCCACCUAGUAAUGCCACCAGGAUGAAGACCUCAGUAUAAAGGCAUGGGUAUGUCCAGGAAGAUACCAAUCGAUCAAUCCUCCAAAGGGAAAGGACAGUAGCGUUCAAAUGUGAUUGGGAUGAUAAGGAUUUGCAUCCUUCUUACAAGCUGACAUUCGCAAGCCCGUGGGUAAAAUUCAGUGAUCUGUAUUUGUGAUUGUUUGUGUUAAUUCCCCGUGAUCGGUUUCUUAGACUUCAAUUGAGUUUUGAACGGUGGAUGUUGGAAUGGUGCAGUCUUGCUCUAUGCAAGAUGAGAUAAGAGGAGAGGAGACUGGUUUGCACCCUAUUGUUUCAGAUUAGAUGAUGUCCACUAGGAUAUACCGUAUAAAGUUAUACUUCCAGAGGACUAUUCCUGGUGGCUUACAUGGUCUUGCUUUUCUUUUCGUGCAGCUGCUCUAAUGGUUUCCUGGCUGUCUUUACUGCUUGCUGUUUGGUUUUGUAAAUGAUUUGUUACUGGUGUGGUGAUUCUACUGUCCUUCCUUCAGUUUGGGGUUGCUAGUAUUGCAGUCCCUAUGGGUUGGUCUCCCCUUGGUGCGCCACUGUUUUUGGCUAGUUGCUCUUCACAGUACCUGUCUUUUGACCUGCUUUUAUGGUUAGUGCUGCCUUGCUGUAUUAUUAAAGUGUGUUGCUGGCUGUCGACUUUGAUCUUCCUGCGGCUGCGUUGUGUUUUUUAUAGCAGAACAGAUUGCUGAUUGGCUCAGCCUUAUUUUCUCCUUGGUGUUGCUGCAUUAGUUCUCCUAUUUGUUGUUGGUUAGGGCUUUGCAUGUUGCCUCAUGUUGGGGAGAGAGACGGAAAUUAAUGAAGCUGUUGUUCCAGAAGAAAUUGAAAGCUCAUCCUUCAUUCAAUGUAGAUACUAGUGGACUUAAAAAAAGGGGGUGCAGUCAUCAACCCCAACAAUGCUGUCCAAGUUCAAGAGUUGUUUUCGCAAGUUUAAGAGGGGCUUUCACAAAUGCAACUACUGCUAAUGAGGCUGUAAAGCUCCGGUCUUGGCCCCCUACCACACAGGCGACACAAUCCCUAGUGAUUAUUCCUGCCCUGCAUCACAAGCACCAUCCAAGUCGAUAUUUUUCACUGAUUCCUCUGGUAGGAGCAAUGUGCAUUUGUUUAUGGGUUUCCUCAAGUCUUCUUCCGGCUUUGAUUUAACCACUGAUUCUUGUACUUCCAAAAAACUUUGCGGCUCCAGUUGAGGCUUGUGUUAUGACAGGCAUUGGAUUCACUUGCAGACCUCAGAAUACACUUUCAGAAUGGCCUUCCAGAUAGACCAACACACACAGGAGAUAAUGAUGACAUUGGUCGGCCACAUAGGCAAUGAAAUCAUGCAGAGGAAGAAGAAUGAAUCGAAUUUAACUGUCUCAAGGUUUGGUAUUUUGGAAACAACUUUUGGGUCUUUUCUUAUUGCUGCGGUGGUGCUUGACAGAAAGGCAUUGGGGGACUUGGGACCAGAGCAUGCUUCGACCUGUUAUUAUAUCUAAACCUGAAGGCAAGAAAAAAACAUUUUUGAUGAGCACAAAAGUAAUGGUCAGAAACACCAUACUCAAUGCCCUUUUGCUAAUUGCAUGCUUGCUGAUGGCUGAUGCUUACUCGUCAGAAUUCAGAAACACCAUGGCUGAGCUUCGAAUUUUCUAGAUGUAAAGGGUCUUCAUUUGGAACCAAACGGUCCAAAUCCCUUUGAGACGUUAAAUUUCAAAACACAUCCAUAGCCAUGUCAUCGUCCUUGAUAGUGCUCCCAGCUGGGGUGUUGCAACUUGUGACUCGCAUAUGAUUGGUUGGAUGAACUUGUCUAAUUGCUGGAGACUCUGUGACAAUCUGGCCGGUGUGGCAAAGACGAAAGAGAUUGUACUGUGUCUGGUUGUUCUGUCCUCUGUGUUUCUCUCCCAACAAUCUGUGUUUGAGGGAAAUGAGUUUCCAAAGUGGUUCAGCUGUUGUAGGGAUUUUGAAGGACCGUAGUGAAUGUGAAGUUUCUGUUGAAAUCCCUCCCAAUUUCAAAUGGUCAAAAACAGGGUUGGCUCUCUGUGCUACUGUUGAAAUUAAGCAAAACAGUGCUGGCAAUUGUUGCUUGAUAGCCAGAGUUUACAUGGAUGAAGAAUGCUCUCAUGAACAUGUGGUUUAUUUCGAUUUGAAAGAGAAGAGUCAGCUCACCUGUGGCUGUAUUAUAUCCCAUUUCAUACAAUGAUAGCCAAGACAAGAAGUGGCUUGCCACCUUAUAAGUGCAAAGUUAGUUUUGACCUUACCAUCAAAGGUUCAGUCUUUUUCGAAAGCUGCGGAGUCCACCUAGUGAUCAAGGAUGAUUUGCCAGUGCCCAAAACAAAGUUUUUCCCUAAUCAUUGCCUUCAAAUGUAAUGCUGGGUAUGUCCCAUUUGAUUCUCUCUCUCUCUCUCUCUCUCUCUCUCUCUCUCUCUCCCCUUGUUUUUUGUCUUCCUUCUAAUUAAGUUGUAUUUCUUUCUUCUUUCGUUGUUGAUGAAAAGAGUUCCAGUAACAUAUGAUGUUUAUUACAUAAGAUAAUAAGAGAAGGUCCAUCAAGAAUCAUUGAACAAA